rnacentral:rRNA from 1 species
UACGUAGGUGGCAAGCGUUGUCCGGAAUUAUUGGGCGUAAAGCGCGCGCAGGCGGCCUUUUAAGUCUGAUGUGAAAUCUUGCGGCUCAACCGCAAGCGGUCAUUGGAAACUGGAGGGCUUGAGUACAGAAGAGGAGAGUGGAAUUCCACGUGUAGCGGUGAAAUGCGUAGAUAUGUGGAGGGACACCAGUGGCGAAGGCGACUCUCUGGUCUGUAACUGACGCUGAGGCGCGAAAGCGUGGGGAGCAAACAGG